rnacentral:lncRNA from 1 species
AAAAACAAUAAAAUAAUUAUUUAAUCAUUAUAAUAAAAAAAAUUUAAACAUUACAAAUAAAUCAUGUAGUACCCCAACGUCCAAAUACACCACAAAAAAUUAGAUGCAAAGGAUAGCGAGGGGAACUUUAUUAUAGCUUCACUUACUAAAAUAUCACACUAUAAAAAGUGUGAUACACAAAAAUAUGUAAUUAGCAAAGCAUAUUAUAAAUCUACGCAAACCUUAUCGUUAUCUCGUAAAAAUAUAAUAUGACAAACAACUCAGUCCCUUAGAUGUUCAUAAUUAAUUGUGAUCAUUUUCACAAAUCAUUACAGGUCUGUAACUGUAAAAAAAAUUGAUCAUCACCGUUGUUAUCAUAUAAUAUGAUAUAAUAAAAAUUAUGAUGAAUAAACUCAGUCCCUUAGAUGUUCAAAUUUUUUGCGAUCAUUUUCACAAAUCAUUACAGGUCUGUAACUGUAAAAAAAUUACUCAUCAUUGUUUAUUCAUCGAAAAAAAAAUAUCAUGCAAAAAAAUAAUAUAGCUAUUCCAGUUAUUCUCCACAAAAAAAUUAAAUUAAAUGAGGAGAAAGAUGAAUAAAUGGAACAACACAAAUUAUUAUUGCUUCAAGGGAACGAGUUGAUCAAAAAUAAAAUAUUUUUUGCCAACCAGAUUAAAGAAGCAUAUAUAACUCAAAAUAAUAUAUAAAUAAACACAACUUUAUUUAGAAGUUAGGAGAUAAAUCACCAUUUUUGAAGAUUUCGAUCUGCAGCUGCAGAAGAGGAGAAACUGAAACUGAUGU